GGGCCGGUAGAUCAGCCUGGAACGAUCGCAGCGUUGGCAUCGCUGAGGUCGCGGGUUCAAAUCCCGCCCGGUCCA
rnacentral:tRNA from 1 species